CUUCUUUUAACAAUCCGAACUAUUGAUUAUCCCACAAUAAUCCCAACUACUAACCCCAUCUUCUAAAAAUGAUCCCUUUAACCUAUAAACCUACUACAAUAGGUAAAUCUUAAACAUGUGACUUACACAUGAUUUUUAAUGAAAUUUUUUUUUUUCCCUUUUGUUUUUCUAUUUUAAUGCCUUUGACUAAAUUUUUUCCUCCCUCUUUACUUCACCCCACAUUUUCUCUCUCCUCUUUCUCCCUCUUUUCUUUUCUACACUGAUGUUCUUCUCCCUUUGCCUUCUUCACGAUACUUUGUUGAUUUCAAAACAAAGUCACCAUUAGCCACUUCAAUUUUGCUCCAAAAAAUUGAAUUUCGUUCAUGACUCUUCAUUUUGUUCAAUCUCCAUUAGCGGCCAUGGCACAAAAUUCGCAACACAGGAGAAUGUCAUUUUGUUAAUUUCAGGAGGAAGACUGGAUUUUUUCAAUGGUUGUAUGAUACUGAGCCUACUCAAUGCAAUGGGUAUAAAAGGUUGAAUGGAGGAUUGGAAGACACUGGCCAUUGUGCAAUUGCUGCAGUUCUACCUUGCCAUGGCCGCUAAUUAAUGGAGAUUGAACGAAAUUGAAGAAUCAGGAACAAAAUUCAAUUUUUUGGAGCGAAAUUGAAGUCGUUAAUGGCGACUUUGUUUUCAAAUCCACAAAAUGUCGUGAAGAAGAUACAAGGAGAAGAACAUCAGUGUGAAAGAGAAUAAGAAAAGAGGGAGGAGGAGAGAGAAAACGUGGGGUGAAGUAAAGAGGGAGGAAAAAAAUUAAGUCAAAGGCAUUAAAAUAGAAAAACAAAAGGGAAAAAAAUUCAUUAAAAAUCAUGUGUGAGUCACAUGUUUAAGGUUUACCUAUUGUAGUAGGUUUAUAGGUUAAAGGGAUCAUUUUUGGAAGAUGGGGUUAAUAGUUGGGAUUAUUGUGGGAUAAUCAAUAGUUCGGACUGUUAACGGAAGAAAGCGCAUAGUUCGGAUUGUUUUUGUCAAUUUUUCCUAAAUAGUAAGGUUAGUUGGUCUUUUUGUAGACCAACUAAUUUUCUUUCAAUUUUGUAAUGUCUUAAUUUUCAAUAAAACUUAUAUGAACUUGGUCCACACUAAAUUAGUGUGGACCUAAUGUUAA